rnacentral:rRNA from 1 species
UACGUGGGGGGCUAGCGUUGUCCGGAUUUAUUGGGCGUAAAGAGCGUGUAGGCGGCCAUGUAGGUCCGGUGUGAAAACUCGAGGCUUAACCUCGAGAUGUCAUCGGAAACCAUUUGGCUAGAGUCCGGAAGAGGAGAGUGGAAUUCCUGGUGUAGCGGUGAAAUGCGCAGAUAUCAGGAAGAACACCAAUGGCGAAAGCAGCUCUCUGGGACGGUACUGACGCUGAGACGCGAAAGCGUGGGGAGCGAACAGG